GACGAACGCUGGCGGCGUGCUUAACACAUGCAAGUCGAACGAAGUGGCGGACGGGUGAGUAACGCGUAAUAAACCGGCCGAUCAGAGGGGGACAACAGUGGGAAAGGAAUGCUAAAACCGCAUACGGAAGGAGGGGAUGGAGUGUGAUUAGCUAGUUGGGGGGGUAACGGCCAACCAAGGCGAUGGUCCGUAGCCGGUCUGAGAGGAUGACCGGCCACAUUGGGACUGAGACAUGGCCCAGACUCCUACGGGAGGCAGCAGUGGGGAAUCUUCCGCAAUGGACGAAAGUCUGACCAAGCAACGCCGCGUGAGUGAUGAAGGCUUUCGGGUUGUAAAGCUCUGUUAAUCGAGAAGCGGUACCUAACUAGAAAGCCACGGCUAACUACGUGCCAGCAGCCGCGGUAAUUC
rnacentral:rRNA from 1 species